CUCUCCCAGGGUCCAUUUGUUUAACUAACCAGCAGAGGGCUUCAGUCAAUGAAUGGACUGAAAUCCAUGAACACAGUGCCCACCAUAUAGUCAUGGCUUAAUAAAUGCUAGUAAGCCCCGCCUGACCCGACACGUUGGGUCCGUGUUGUCCAGCUUGGCAGAAGAGAGCUCUCUCCCUGUGCUCCUCAGAGCUGGUGGUGAGCACCCAUCUGGUGGACGGCCUCAGGCUGCCUGGGGGCCAGGUCCUGCAGACUGCCUUUCGACUGUGGCCCUCUCUCUCAUCUGCAGGCCCCAAACAGGAGAUGGCCAGGGACUUCUGGAGGAUGGUCUGGGAGCAGAAGUCAGAGACCAUUGUCAUGCUGACCAACUUGAAAGAAAGAAAAAAGGCUUCUUUGGCUCUUCCAGCUUUGUUUCGGGUGCCACCCUGGCAGCAUGGAGUAAUCUAAUGCCCCUACUUCUAGAUGGUGACGACCCGUGACAUGGACUCUCACUGCCUUUCUUCUCCAGGAGACUCUUCCCUAGAUACUACAUAUAUAUACACUCUCUUGAGUUUCUGUUUCCUUUUUAUGUGAUCUUGAUGACAUCAACUUCUCCGGGAAGCUCUUGUGCAGUUUCUUUGUUUCCUUGGACAAUGUGUCUACUCUAUUUUUGCCUCUAGUUUUCGAAGUCAUCAUCCCUAUAUUGGGACUUGCAUCUUUAAGUUUCUUCUCCUCAUUCUCUGUCUUACAUAGUUCAGUUGGUAAACCUAAAUUGGGCUCUUGUGAUUCCUUAGCAGACUUAAUUAUGUUGCUAGAUGUUAAAGAUGCCAUCUUUCAUGAACUGUGAAACUCUUAGGUGGUGUCUUUUCC
rnacentral:lncRNA from 1 species